rnacentral:misc_RNA from 1 species
AAGUCGUAACAAGGUCUCCGUAGGUGAACCUGCGGAGGGAUCAUUAACGAGUUAGGGUCUCACCGGCCCGACCUCCCAACCCUUUGUCUACUUGACCAUCGUUGCUUCGGCGAGCCCGUCCUCACGGACCGCCGGGGGGUUCACUGAACCCCCUGGUCCGCGCUCGUCGACAGCCCCCAAUUCCAAAAUCUUAACUAAACGUGUCUUGAAUCUAAGUACUAUUGUUAAAUAAAAAACAAAACUUUCAACAACGGAUCUCUUGGUUCUG